GAUGAACGCUGGCGGCGUGCCUAAUACAUGCAAGUCGAGCGAACAGACGAGGAGCUUGCUCCUCUGACGUUCGCGGCGGACGGGUGAGUACCACGUGGAUAACUUACCUAUAAGACUGGGAUAACUUCGGGAAACCGGAGCUCAUACCUGAUAAUAUCUUUAACCGCAUGGUUCUAUAGUGAAAGACGGCUUUGCUGUCCAUUCUAGAUGGAUCCGCGCCGCAUUCGCUAGUUGGUAAGGUAACUGCUUACCAAGGCGACGAUGCGUAGCCGACCUGAGAGGGUGAUCGGCCACACUGGAACUGAGACACGGUCCAGACUCCUACGGGAGGCAGCAGGAGGGAAUCUGCCGCAAUGGGCGAAAGCCUGACGGAGCAACGCCGCGUGAGUGAUGAAGGUCGUCGGAUCGUAAAACUCUGUUAAUAGGGAAGAACAAAUGUGUAAGUAACGAUGCACGUCUUGACGGUACCUAAUCAGAGAGCCACGGCUAACUACGUG
rnacentral:rRNA from 1 species